rnacentral:rRNA from 1 species
UACGAAGGGGGCAAGCGUUGUUCGGAAUGACUGGGUGUAAAGGGCGCGUAGGCGGUAUUUUAAGUGAGGCGUGAAAGCCCUGGGCUUAACCCAGGAGGUGCGUUUCAUACUGGAAUGCUAGAGUGCGAGAGAGGAAAGUGGAAUUCCUAGUGUAGAGGUGAAAUUCGUAGAUAUUAGGAAGAACACCAGAGGCGAAGGCGGCUUUCUGGCUCGCAACUGACGCUGAGGCGCGAAAGCGUGGGGAGCAAACAGG